rnacentral:rRNA from 1 species
ACAAAGGGUCGCGAACCCGCGAGGGGGAGCCAAUCCCAAAAAGCCGCUCUCAGUUCGGAUUGCAGGCUGCAACUCGCCUGCAUGAAGCCGGAAUCGCUAGUAAUCGCGGAUCAGCAUGCCGCGGUGAAUACGUUCCCGGGCCUU